GACGAACGCUGGCGGCGUGCUUAACACAUGCAAGUCGAACGGAAAGGCCCUGCUUUUGUGGGGUGCUCGAGUGGCGAACGGGUGAGUAACACGUGAGUAACCUGCCCUUGACUUUGGGAUAACUUCAGGAAACUGGGGCUAAUACCGGAUAGGAGUUCCUGCUGCAUGGUGGGGGUUGGAAAGUUUCGGCGGUUGGGGAUGGACUCGCGGCUUAUCAGCUUGUUGGUGGGGUAGUGGCUUACCAAGGCCUUGACGGGUAGCCGGCCUGAGAGGGUGAGCGGCCACAUUGGGACUGAAAUGCGGCCCAGACUCCUACGGGAGGCAGCAGUGAGGAAUAUUGCACAAUGGGCGGAAGCCUGAUGCAGCGACGCCGCGUGCGGGAUGACGGCCUUCGGGUUGUAAACCGCUUUCGCCUGUGACGAAGCGUGAGUGACGGUAAUGGGUAAAGAAGCACCGGCUAACUACGUG
rnacentral:rRNA from 1 species